rnacentral:rRNA from 1 species
GACGAACGCUGGCGGCGUGCUUAACACAUGCAAGUCGAACGGAAAGGCCCUGCUUUUGUGGGGUGCUCGAGUGGCGAACGGGUGAGUAACACGUGAGUAACCUGCCCUUGACUUUGGGAUAACUUCAGGAAACUGGGGCUAAUACCGGAUAGGAGCUCCUGCUGCAUGGUGGGGGUUGGAAAGUUUCGGCGGUUGGGGAUGGACUCGCGGCUUAUCAGCUUGUUGGUGGGGUAGUGGCUUACCAAGGCUUUGACGGGUAGCCGGCCUGAGAGGGUGACCGGCCACAUUGGGACUGAGAUACGGCCCAGACUCCUACGGGAGGCAGCAGUGGGGAAUAUUGCACAAUGGGCGGAAGCCUGAUGCAGCAACGCCGCGUGCGGGAUGACGGCCCUCGGGUUGUAAACCGCUUUCGCCUGUGACGAAGCGUGAGUAACGGUAAUGGGUAAAGAAGCACCGGCUAACUACGUG